GAAGCGCUCCAGGUUGGAGCUGCUUGGCAGGAAUUGGGGCUUUCCUUUUGGCGGAUCAGCCUGUGUCGGUCCCCGAGGGAACCCUCAAAACAACAUUUACAGGGAAGCCCCAGAGAUUCCCUGAGGGUGGAAAGGAAAACCAAGAAAGCCAGGCCCUCUUGGUCCAGCAGUCCUCCAAGAGCUUCUCGGAAAGCCCUCAGAAGGAGGACAACCUCCUACAACGACUUCAUCGAGAACUAGUGCUGGGAGGCAGACAAGUUCCAGUUUGAAAUUUGGAACGCACUGUCCAAUCAGCUCCCUGCUCUCUCCUUCAGUCCUCUUCUUCGGACCAAACUCACCAAGUGAUGUGGCCCUUUUUCAGGAGAUGUUGCUUCAAUUUGCAGACGACACCAAGCUGGCAGGAAUAGCCAACCCUCCAGAAGACAGGCUUAAGAUACAGAAGGAUCUGGACAGACUUGAACACUGGGCGCUAUGUAACAAAAUGAAAUUCAAUGGUGAAAAAAUAUUCUCUGGAGUCUUCCCCAACACUGAAGGUCAAAAGCAUCAAUAUCUUCCUUUCUGCUUCUUUGAAAUCCAACUUUUGCUUUCCUAGAAUGUCACAGGGAAUACCUUGCAGAAUUCUGAUCUCUUCAUUACUCCUGCGGCUCCUAGUAGGUGUAGCUCCAACUAUAGAAACAAGCUUACAUUUCCCCAAAAGGAAGAGAAAAAUCCAAAGGGAUCCGAAACCGCACUGGGUGAGCAUCCAUUCCAGAUGAGACAAUCCAAGCGAACAGAAUUAGCGAUGCUGUAGAGAAGCAACUAGUGAGGAACAAAGGAAAGCAAUUCUAUGAUCAGCCAAGGAGAAGACGUGGACCAUGCCUUCCAAAAGCAACCUGCAGAUUUUUCAAAGAGGCAUGAAAUCCUGCUGAAGAGGAUGUGAGUGACUUGCCAUGUGCUGGGAUUAAAUUCUACCAAAAGUAAUCCUUCCAGGAAAUUUUAGAUUUGUCUUGAUUGCAGUUUUCUUCUUCGGAGAGUGGAGAAAUGCAGGCAUUUGGCUCAAUGUGCCUAAAUAUGUACCUUGGACAAAAACAGCCAAAUUUAAAGAAAACUCAGAGCAAUAAUAAAGAUGGUUCCAUGGCACAAAAAGUUAAUGAGAAACCUACCUCACAAUGGGUGGGAAUUCCUAAAGUUGUUUCACCCUAUCCUAUAUGAGGAGACCUCACCUCACUACUGUAACCAGCUGGACACUACAUUUUAAGAAAGAUUCAGAGAACCUGGGGUGGAUUUAAUUCUCUGUUUUGUAGUUUAUUUGUUUAUCACAAAUACUUUUCUUCUGCUCAAGGUUUCA